AAAUCUAAUACUGCAGUCGAACGAGAGACCUUCGGGUCUCUAGUGGCGAACGGGUGAGUAACACGUAGGGAACCUGCCCGCGCACCGGGAAUACGCUCUGGAAACGGAGAACAAAUCCCGAUGUACAGGAAGGAGGCAUCUUCUUUCUGUGAAACAUCCUCUAGGGGAUGGGGCGCGGAUGGACCUGCGGUGCAUUAGUUGGUUGGCGGGGUAAAGGCCCACCAAGACGAUGAUGCAUAGCCGGCCUGAGAGGGCGGACGGCCACAUUGGGACUGAGACACGGCCCAGACUCCUGCGGGAGGCAGCAGUAGGGAAUUUUCGUCAAUGGGCGCAAGCCUGAACGAGCGAUGCCGCGUGAGUGAAGAAGGCCUUCGGGUCGUAAAGCUCUGUUGCGGGGGAAAAAAGGCAGCAUCAGGAAAUGGGUGCUGACUGAUGGUGCCCCGCCAGAAAGUCACAGCUAACUACGUGCCAGCAGCCGCGGUAAUACGUAGGUGGCGAGCGUUAUCCGGAAUGAUUGGGCGUAAAGGGUGCGCAGGCGGUCCUGCAAGUCUGGAGUGAAACGCAUGAGCUCAACUCAUGCAUGGCUUUGGAAACUGGAGGACUGGAGAGCAGGAGAGGGCGGUGGAACUCCAUGUGUAGCGGUAAAAUGCGUAGAUAUAUGGAAGAACACCAGUGGCGAAGGCGGCCGCCUGGCCUGUUGCUGACGCUGAGGCACGAAAGCGUGGGGAGCAAAUAGGAUUAGAUACCCUAGUAGUCCACGCAGUAAACGAUGAUUACUAGCUGUUUGCGAUACACAGUAA
rnacentral:rRNA from 1 species